rnacentral:rRNA from 1 species
AAUGAACGCUGGCGGCAUGCCUAAUACAUGCAAGUCGAACGAGACCUUCGGGUCUAGUGGCGUAUGGGUGCGUAACGCGUGGGAAGCUGACCUUAGGUUCGGAAUAACUACCCGAAAGGGGUGCUAAUACCGGAUAAUGUCUAAGGACCAAGGAUUUAUCGCAUUUGGGUGGGCCCGAGUUGGAUUAGCUAGUUCGUAGGGUAAAAGACUACGAAGGUGACGAUCCAUAGCUGGUCUGAGAGAAUGGUCAGCCACACUUGGAUUAAGACACGGCCCAGACUCCUACGGGAGGCAGCAAUGGGUAAUAUUGCACAGUGGGCUGAGUCCUGAUCCACCAAUGCCGGGUGAGUGAUGAUGUCCUGAAAGUUGUAAAGCGCUUUUACCCGUGAUGAUAAUGACAGUACCGAAACAGUAAGCUCCGGCUAACUCCGUG